rnacentral:rRNA from 1 species
UACGUAGGGCGCAAGCGUCGUCCGGAAUUAUUGGGCGUAAAGAGCUCGUAGGCGGUUUGUCGCGUCUGUCGUGAAAGCCCACGGCUUAACUGUGGGUCUGCGGUGGAUACGGGCAGACUAGAGGCAGGUAGGGGAGAAUGGAAUUCCCGGUGUAGCGGUGAAAUGCGCAGAUAUCGGGAGGAACACCGGUGGCGAAGGCGGUUCUCUGGGCCUGUACUGACGCUGAGGAGCGAAAGCGUGGGGAGCGAACAGG